GAUAUUGUAAGGACGUUGAUUGUGCGUCCCUUUUAUUGCGACAGUUGGGAUUGACGCAUGCUAGUGUAAUGCUAUAAAGCAUUGCGCGUAAAGGGUAGGAAUGCAUGAGAAUAGGCUAAAGUAAUUUUGUUUAAAAUACAAAAAAAAUUAAUGUUCUUUAGAGAUUUCAUGGACGAUUAGGUUGUAUUGUCUAAUAGAUCAUAGCCGAUUAUCGUUAACUGCAUUGAGAGGUAGAGCAGUACCAGCUGUGUAGUAAGCACAGCCGAUCAUUUGAUUGCAGCAGCGCAAAACAUUUGCCAAUGAGCGAAAGCUUGAGCGAACCAAACUGGUAGGGGAACGAAGGAGAAUUCUGUAAACCCUUAAUGCUAGGGAAUAACUAGAGCGUACCUAGAGAGAAGAACGGACUAAUGCUGGUGCCAGGUGCGACAAGUAUGACUUAAUUAAUAGAGUGUAAUUCUCUUACGCAAAUAACUCUGCGUACCUGAAAAUUCACAUGCGUGCUGAGCCCUUGGUUUAGCAUGUAUGAAGACUGAACUAACAGGAAUGUGUGUAUGGUAAAUAAAGUGAAUUGGUGUAAGCUUAUGUGGUAGGGCAGCGCGUCUGGCUCGUGUUGUUGAGUUUUCAAAAAUCACAAAAGUAUAGCCAAUACCUAAGCGCACAAUAGAUUGUAAGUCCAUUCAGUCAACGAUGGCUUUUAUGUCUUGGCCUUUGGCCUUGAAUAAGCAAACGCGGAAAAAGCCCGCCUCAAUAGUACGAGCGCAAGCUUAAAAUUGAAACAAUUAAUGCGUGGAGAUUCAAUAUGGUGGAACAUGCGAUUUAAUUCGUCGCUACGCGCUAACCUUACGCGGUCUUGAUUAAUUACUAUACCCAUGUUUAAAAAAAAAACUUAGUUGGUAAUUAUAGCUUUGCAUGGUCGUGGUCAGCUCGUUUUUUGUAAAGUUGGGUUAAUUCCAUAAACGAGCGAAACGCGCAUGUUUAUAUUAACUAAUUUUAGUUAAGUGUAAAAUGUACCUAUAAACCACAGCGAAAGAAAUUUUCGAGGAGGGGCGCAUCAUCACAGAUCCUCAUGAAGUUCAUGAUCGCGGCUAUACGCGUGUUACAAUUGAUAAAUCAAACAGUAGCAAUUAUGCGAAUAAGUGCAAACCUGUAAACCUUAUCUAAACGGAUUGCAUUCUGCAACUCGAAUGUAUGAAGCAGGAAUCAUAAGUAAUCGUUUUAAAGAAUUGAAACGGUGAAAUUUGUUCAUCUCCGGCUAUUAAUAGCCCGUCAAUGCCUGGUUAACGAGUGUACAGGAAAAGUGUAGAUUGUAUACCUAUAUUUGAUUGUGUAUUUGGCAGCCGGGCAUAAGUCGUAACACAGUAAUCGUACCGGAAGGUGCGGUUGGCGCCAUUUUUUAAAAUACUUUUGAUUCCUUU
rnacentral:ncRNA from 1 species